ensembl:misc_RNA Metazoa_SRP Metazoan signal recognition particle RNA
GCUUUGGCAUUCUGGGCCAGAUGCAGAUUAGGUGGAGCCUGAAGGAAGCUGAGGCUGGAGGAUUGCUUCAGCCCAGGAGUUCUGGGCUGUAGUGCGCUAUGCCGAUCAGGUGUCUGCACUAAGUUCAGCAUCAAUAUAGUGACCUCCCAGUAGCGGGGGACCACCAGGCUGCCCAAGGAGGGGUGAACCCGGCCAGGUCGGAAACAGAGCAGGUCAAAACUGCCGUGCUGAUCGGUAGUGGGAUCGCUCCUGUGAAUAGCCACUGCACUCCAGCCUGGGCAACAUAGCAAGACCCUGUCUCUU